GCGGCAACAGCUCAAAUUUGAAAUCUGGUCCCCUCGCGGGGCCCGAGUUGUAAUUUGAAGAGGAUGCUUCUGGCAAGGUGCCUUCCGAGUUCCCUGGAACGGGACGCCGCAGAGGGUGAGAGCCCCGUACGGUAGGACGCCGAGCCUCUGUGAAGCUCCUUCGACGAGUCGAGUAGUUUGGGAAUGCUGCUCAAAAUGGGAGGUAAACCCCUUCUAAAGCUAAAUACCGGCCAGAGACCGAUAGCGCACAAGUAGAGUGAUCGAAAGAUGAAAAGCACUUUGAAAAGAGAGUUAAAAAGCACGUGAAAUUGUUGAAAGGGAAGCGCUUGCGACCAGACUCGCGCCCGUCGGAUCAGCCGUCGCUUGUCGGCGGCGCACUCCGGCGGGCUCGGGCCAGCAUCAGUUCGCCUCGGGGGGAGAAAGGCGGCAGGAAUGUGGCUCUUCGGAGUGUUAUAGCCUGCCGCGUAAUACCCCCGGGCGGACUGAGGACCGCGCGUAUGCAAGGAUGCUGGCGUAAUGGUCGUCAGCGACCCGUCUUGAAACACGGACC
rnacentral:rRNA from 1 species